CGUCGUGUAUUUAUUCUUUUUGUUAGAAUUUUAUUAAGAAAGGCAUCGGGAUCGGGGUUCCUAUGAAACUUUACCAUAGACAUGAGCAGACGAAGAUCUCUACCCAAACUCGUAUUUUCUGAAACUCAAAGAUAUAAUACAUGACGAAAGACUUCAGAAAGAGAUUUACAGUGACAUCAAGAUAUGGACCAGCAAGUUUGUAAACAUUUUUAUAUACUAUUUUUGGUUUGAACAUAUUUUAUUGUAUAUAUAAUAUACAAAGGGUUUGAACACAAGUUCUUGCAACUUACUAGGUUCUCACCCAAUUAUUUUUUAUAACUGGGUUGAUACUUUAUUGAUGCAUAAUUAAUUUUAUACUUUUUACAACAUAAUAUAUAAUUGAAUAUUUAGAUGUUCAAAUAUGACCAUGAUGAUGAAUCUGAAUGUGUGUAGAUUUGUGUCAUCAUGUAAGAUUAAAUGUUUUAUACAUAAAUUGUAAAAUUCUGUGAAAAGGGGAAUAACUCUUCCACAUUUAUAACAUUUAAAUAUUGUGUGUAUUUUUUAUAACCUGUGAAAUUAAUUAAAAAAUAUUAUGUGAAUUGAUCGUAUGAAAUUGAAUUAAUUUUUGUUGUAUAUUUACAGGGUGAUUUAUUUUUAAAUCAUAUACAACAGCGAGCCUGCAGGUGUCCAUUAUUUAUACCAAAGGGCCCCUGUUACACUUGUAUACUAUAAACUAUUUGACUUGUUACAUAAAUCAUGUUUCAUGUAUAACUUCUUUCUGAUUUUUCUCCUUCCAUGUAAAAUUUUUGAAAGCCUUCCUGAAUUGAUUUUAUAUUGUUAUUGAUCUUCUUAGUUGAUUUAAAUCUGUGUACUGUUGAAUUUUCAGGCAUCUAGAAACAUUCGAUGCAGACACUCAAAGUAUGAAAGGAGUUUCCAUGGAUUCCAUGGGAAGAGCCGUUUCAACAAGAGCUUGGACUUUGGGCAGUAUGUGACAAACUUCAAUUUGUUAGAUGCAGAGGCUUCACUCAUGACUUACUUUCCUGUCAUUAACUACCAGUUAAA